rnacentral:rRNA from 1 species
AUGCCUACGGGGCGCAGCAGUGGGGAAUCUUCCGCAAUGGGCGCAAGCCUGACGGAGCAACGCCGCGUGAAUGAAGAAGGUCUUCGGAUCGUAAAGUUCUGUUCUUAGGGAAGAAGUCUUAGGUUGUGAAUAAUGACUUAAGGUGACGGUACCUAUGGAGAAAGCUCCGGCUAACUACGUGCCAGCAGCCGCGGUAAUACGUAGGGGGCAAGCGUUAUCCGGAUUUACUGGGUGUAAAGGGAGCGUAGACGGCGGCGCAAGUCCGGAGUGAAAGCCCACGGCCCAACCGUGGGACUGCUCUGGAA